AUUGAACGCUGGCGGCAUGCCUUACACAUGCAAGUCGAACGGUAACAGGUCUUCGGAUGCUGACGAGUGGCGAACGGGUGAGUAAUACAUCGGAACGUGCCUAGUAGUGGGGGAUAGCUACUCGAAAGAGUGGCUAAUACCGCAUGAGAUCUACGGAUGAAAGCAGGGGAUCGCAAGACCUUGCGCUACUAGAGCGGCCGAUGGCAGAUUAGGGAGUUGGUGGGAUAAAAGCUUACCAAGCCGACGAUCUGUAGCUGGUCUGAGAGGACGAUCAGCCACACUGGGACUGAGACACGGCCCAGACUCCUACGGGAGGCAGCAGUGGGGAAUUUUGGACAAUGGGCGCAAGCCUGAUCCAGCAAUGCCGCGUGCAGGAUGAAGGCCUUCGGGUUGUAAACUGCUUUUGUACGGAACGAAAAGCCCUGGGUUAAUACCCUGGGGUCAUGACGGUACCGUAAGAAUAAGCACCGGCUAACUACGUGCCAGCCGCCGCCGUAAUAC
rnacentral:rRNA from 1 species